rnacentral:rRNA from 1 species
UACGGGGGGGGCAAGCGUUGUUCGGAAUUACUGGGCGUAAAGGGCUCGUAGGCGGCCAACUAAGUCAGACGUGAAAUCUCUCGGCUUAACCGGGGAACUGCGUCUGAUACUGGAUGGCUUGAGAUUGGGAGAGGGAUGCGGAAUUCCAGGUGUAGCGGUGAAAUGCGUAGAUAUCUGGAGGAACACCGGUGGCGAAGGCGGCAUCCUGGACCAACACUGACGCUGAGGAGCGAAAGCCAGGGGAGCAAACGGGG